ensembl:lncRNA
CUUUUAGAAGGAGCUGUCAGCACUGGAGCAGGGAUAGACUUUCUUCAGAGUGGGACAGAUGCAGAGACUGAGGAGAAACACACUGUGUUGCAUGGAAUUAGCAGGACAGAAGAGAAAGCACCAUCCACUGACCUGCAGGCUGCUGACAUGUUGCCAUGCUAAUGCUUGCAGGAUUGUAACAACCCCACAAGACAUCCUGGCAAUGCAUCCCACCACUACAGCCUGCUUGCCUUGCUCAGCAGAACAAACUGAUGGACAGUAACCACUUCUUGGAUGGCUCACUCCAGGCCAAGUCAGGCAUGGUCUGCGUAACUUACCAGAACCUGAAAGGCUGUAGAAGAUACAGGCUUACCAGUGCUUACAAGUAAAUGAGGAAAAAAGACUGUCCCACCAGCCCACUACCCUCUUUGAGAAAAAAUGGUUGCUGAUAUAACACAAUCACCAACGCAG